rnacentral:rRNA from 2 species
UUUGAAAUCCCCCGGGAAUUGUAAUUUGAAGAGAUUUGGGUCCGGCCGGCGGGGGUUAAGUCCACUGGAAAGUGGCGCCACAGAGGGUGACAGCCCCGUGAACCCCUUUAACGCCCUCAUCCCAAAUCUCCAAGAGUCGAGUUGUUUGGGAAUGCAGCUCUAAGUGGGUGGUAAAUUCCAUCUAAAGCUAAAUACCGGCGAGAGACCGAUAGCGAACAAGUACAGUGAUGGAAAGAUGAAAAGCACUUUGAAAAGAGAGUGAAAAAGUACGUGAAAUUGUUGAAAGGGAAGGGCUUGCAAGCAGACACUUAACUGGGCCAGCAUCGGGGCGGCGGGAAGCAAAACCACCGGGGAAUGUACCUUUCGAGGAUUAUAACCCCGGCCCUUACUCCCAUACUGCCCCGAGGCCUGCAAUCUAAGGAUGCUGGCGUAAUGGUUGCAAGUCGCCCGUCUU